GACGAACGCCGGCGGCGUGCUUAACACAUGCAAGUCGAACGGUAAGGCCCUUCGGGGUACACGAGUGGCGAACGGGUGAGUAACACGUGGGUGAUCUGCCCUGCACUUCGGGAUAAGCCUGGGAAACUGGGUCUACUACCGGAUAGGACCACUGCCUGCAUGGGUGGUGGUGGAAAGCUUUUGCGGUGUGGGAUGGGCCCGCGGCCUAUCAGCUUGUUGGUGGGGUGAUGGCCUACCAAGGCGACGACGGGUAGCCGGCCUGAGAGGGUGACCGGCCACACUGGGACUGAGAUACGGCCCAGACUCCUACGGGAGGCAGCAGUGGGGAAUAUUGCACAAUGGGCGCAAGCCUGAUGCAGCGACGCCGCGUGAGGGAUGACGGCCUUCGGGUUGUAAACCUCUUUCAGCACCGACGAAGCGCAAGUGACGGUAGGUGCAGAAGAAGGACCGGCCAACUACGUGCCAGCCGCCGCAGUAA
rnacentral:rRNA from 1 species